UCCAUUAUUUUAUAUAGCGUAUGUUUUAGUUUUUACAGUAUCAUUUUUUUAUUAUAAACUAAAACUAUUUUAUAUCUCACUGUUCUAUGAUUUGAUGGUGAAUUUGACAUGUUUGGCAGAAGGAGCUUUGGUUCUAUAUGUGACGCCCCCAAAAUAGGUAUACAUCACUCAUCUUAAGUCGCCAAAUACAUGGUACAGAAUACAGAUACAACUUAAUUAUACAACAGUCGUGUAAAAUACGACAAAACAUAGCUGAGAGUUUAAACAAGAAUAUUGUCAUCUAGACAAUAUCCACACUCAAUGGAGUCCUCAUUAUAAUUAUUAUCACAUUCUUCCGUAUAAUAGUGAGGACUACUAAAGCCAUUAAUCC
rnacentral:lncRNA from 1 species